CGUAAAGGAAAAAAAUGUGAAAAUGAAAGUAAGAUAGAUCUCCGGUUCUAAAUUUAGCGCGUUCAAACGUCACCCUACCACGUGACGGAUCACAUGGUACACCAAAUCGAAAUAAACAUGGACUCCAGUAGUACAAACUCGACUGCGACAGGAAGUUAUUUUGGUGAUCUUGAAGAUUGAAGGAGAGUUAGAAAGGAGUAGCAGUAGAAGAGGCAGGGGCAGAGCUAGAGUUAAGACAACCAGUGGAACAGACAGAGGUGGAAGGGGAAGAGGAGUUAGGGGCAGUAGGUCCAGCAGCAUUGGUGGUAGCAGGGGUAGACGAGGGCAAGGCAGGGGUCGAGUGGUCGUGCAAAAAGUACCAGGUUGUCCAAGUCAGACAAAGAAAGAGUCGAAGAGAGAUUUAAAGAAAGAUCAGACAAUGCUGAGGAAUUGGUGAAACGUAUGGACACAGAGAAGCUGAGGAAUCUGGUUCUGGCCUUACUGACGAGGGAGCCGGGGCUUCUCUUUGAUCUUGUAGAGGAUGACGCCGUCAUCAUGACGGGACUCCACCACCAUCACCUCCAGGUUCUUCAGGCAACAUAGUACCAUCAUGAUGCAGAUGUAGUUUCUGUAGAGAAAUGCCCACGGAGUUUGAAAAAAAUGUUGUGGUUGUAUUCCACAAAACUGUGUGAGCCAGAGAGAUCAAAUGAACCGUAUUGUUCUUGACCCUGAAGUGCUGGCAAUAGGACAGGCCUACUACAGGGAUAUGUUGGGAAGACAUCGCCAACGAGUUGAAUAUUACAAUAGAACCAUGCGACAUGCAGGAUAUCGCAAUUUUACACUUUGGAGACAUGGACACUUGGGGGCUGGAAUCAGACGAGUGAUUCCUAGU
rnacentral:lncRNA from 1 species